UACGUAGGGUGCAAGCGUUGUCCGGAAUUAUUGGGCGUAAAGAGCUCGUAGGCGGCUUGUCACGUCGGAUGUGAAAUCCCGAGGCUCAACCUCGGGCCUGCAUUCGAUACGGGCUAGCUAGAGUACUGCAGGGGAGACUGGAAUCCUGGUGGUAGCGGUGAAAUGCGCAGAUAUCAGGAGGAACACCGGGUGGCGAAGGCGGGUCUCUGGGACGGUACUGGACGCUGAGACGCGAAAGCGUGGGGAGCGAAC
rnacentral:rRNA from 1 species